rnacentral:rRNA from 1 species
ACUCCUACGGGAGGCAGCAGGUGGGAAUAUUGCACGAAAUGGGAAGGCCAUCGAUGCAGCCAUGCCGCGUGUGUGAAGAAGGCCAAUUCGGGCUUGGUUAAAGACACUUUUCAGUAGGGAGGAAGGUAGUGUAGUUAACACCUGCAUUAUUUGACGUUACCUACAGAAGAAGCACCGGCUAACUCCGUGCCAGCAGCCGCGGUAAUACGGAGGGUGCGAGCGUUAAUCGGAAUUACUGGGCGUAAAGCGCAUGCAGGCGGCCUGUUAAGUCAGAUGUGAAAGCCCGGGCUUAAGCCUCGGAAUUGCAUUUGAAACUGGCAGGCUAGAGUCUUGUAGAGGGGGGUGAGAAUUGAUCAGGUGUAGCGGUGAAAGUGCAGUAGAGAUCU